rnacentral:sRNA from 1 species
CAAGGUCUCCGUAGGUGAACCUGCGGAGGGAUCAUUACACAAUAAAAUACGAAGGCCGUUCGCGGCUGGACUAUUUAUUACCCUUGUCUUUUGCGCACUUGUUGUUUCCUGGGCGGGUUCGCUCGCCACCAGGACCACAAUAUAAACCUUUUUUAUGCAGUUGCAAUCAGCGUCAGUAUAACAAAUGUAAAUCAUUUACAACUUUCAACAACGGAUCUCUUGGUUCUGGCAUCGAUGAAGAACGCAGCGAAAUGCGAUACGUAGUGUGAAUUGCAGAAUUCAGUGAAUCAUCGAAUCUUUGAACGCACAUUGCGCCCUUUGGUAUUCCAAAGGGCAUGCCUGUUCGAGCGUCAUUUGUACCCUCAAGCUUUGCUUGGUGUUGGGCGUUUUUGUCUUUGGCCCGCCAAAGACUCGCCUUAAAAUGAUUGGCAGCCGGCCUACUGGUUUCGCAGCGCAGCACAUUUUUGCGCUUGCAAUCAGCAAAAGAGGACGGCAAUCCAUCAAGACUCCUUCUCACGUUGACCUCGGAUCA